GAUGAACGCUGGCGGCGUGCCUAAUACAUGCAAGUAGAACGCUGAAGGAAGGAGCUUGCUCUUUCCGGAUGAGUUGCGAACGGGUGAGUAACGCGUAGGUAACCUGCCUGGUAGCGGGGGAUAACUAUUGGAAACGAUAGCUAAUACCGCAUAACAGUAGAUGUUGCAUGAUAUCUACUUAAAAGGUGCAAUUGCACCACUACCAGAUGGACCUGCGUUGUAUUAGCUAGUUGGUGAGGUAACGGCUCACCAAGGCGACGAUACAUAGCCGACCUGAGAGGGUGAUCGGCCACACUGGGACUGAGACACGGCCCAGACUCCUACGGGAGGCAGCAGUAGGGAAUCUUCGGCAAUGGACGGAAGUCUGACCGAGCAACGCCGCGUGAGUGAAGAAGGGUUUCGGAUCGUAAAGCUCUGUUGUAAGAGAAGAACGAGUGUGAGAGUGGAAAGUUCACACUGUGACGGUAUCUUACCAGAAAGGGACGGCUAACUACGUG
rnacentral:rRNA from 1 species